rnacentral:rRNA from 1 species
UAAUACGGAGGAUCCAAGCGUUAUCCGGAUUUAUUGGGUUUAAAGGGUGCGUAGGCGGAUUAAUAAGUCAGUGGUGAAAGCCUGCAGCUUAACUGUAGAAUUGCCAUUGAUACUGUUAGUCUUGAGUCCAGUUGAGGUGGGCGGAAUGUGUCAUGUAGCGGUGAAAUGCUUAGAUAUGACACAGAACACCGAUUGCGAAGGCAGCUCGCUAAACUGGUACUGACGCUGAGGCACGAAAGCGUGGGUAGCAAACAGGAUUAGAUACCCUGGUAGUCCACGCCCUAAACGAUGAUUACUCGAUGUGUGCGAUAUACUGUACGCGUCUAAGCGAAAGCAUUAAGUAAUCCACCUGGGGAGUACGGUCGCAAGAUUG